AACGAACGCUGGCGGCAGGCCUAACACAUGCAAGUCGAACGAGUAAGAGCCGUAGCAAUACGGAGUUCUGCUAGUGGCGCACGGGUGAGUAACGCGUGGGAACGUGCCUUGGAGUUCGGGAUAACAGUUGGAAACGACUGCUAAUACCGAAUAUUCCCUCAGGGGGAAAGAUUUAUCGCUCCAAGAUCGGCCCGCGUAAGAUUAGGUAGUUGGUGGGGUAAUGGCCUACCAAGCCUACGAUCUUUAGCUGGUCUGAGAGGACGACCAGCCACACUGGAACUGAGACACGGCCCAGACUCCUACGGGAGGCAGCAGUGGGGAAUAUUGGGACAAUGGGCGAAAGCCUGAUCCAGCCAUGCCGCGUGAAUGAUGAAGGCCUUAGGGUUGUAAAAUCUUUUGCAGGGGAAGAUAAUGACGGUACCCUGCGAAUAAGCUCCGGCUAACUUCGUGCCAGCAGCCGCGGUAAU
rnacentral:rRNA from 1 species